rnacentral:miRNA from 1 species
CUUGGAAAUCUUGUUAAAAUGUAGAUUCUGAUUUAGCAGGUCAAAGAGCCUGCAUUUCUAACAAGAUUACAAGUGAAACUGAUGCAGCU